AAAGCACCGUCAAUGUGAAGGAAACUGCCUUUGAGCCCUCUGCCACCGCCCGUAUUGGGGGGAAUCAUGCAAACCACACCGAGCAGCUCUCAAGCCCAAGUUCAUCUGCCUUACAUUCACAGGUCAGCAACAGCAAAGGCCAUUACUUCAUGAAACACUGAUGAAAGCUCCCUUUUAUACCUACUUGUAAGGAUGUUGGAUUACAGCACAACUGGAUAAUAAAAUAAACUUCCCC
rnacentral:lncRNA from 1 species